rnacentral:rRNA from 1 species
GAUGAACGCUAGCGGCAGGCCUAAUACAUGCAAGUCGAACGGUGUCUUCGGACAUAGUGGCGCACGGGUGCGUAACACGUAUGCAACCUACCUUACAUUGGGGGAUAGCCUUUCGAAAGGGAGAUUAAUACCGCAUAAGACAGUAGCUGGGCAUCCAGCAGCUGUUAAAGAUUUAUCGAUGUAAGAUGGGCAUGCGUCCAAUUAGUUAGUUGGUGAGGUAAUGGCUCACCAAGGCUCAGACGGGUAGCUGGUCUGAGAGGAUGAUCAGCCACACUGGGACUGAGACACGGCCCAGACUCCUACGGGAGGCAGCAGUGGGGAAUAUUGGACAAUGGGCGAAAAGCCUGAUCCAGCCACGCCGCGUGUGUGAUGAAGGCCUUCGGUCGUAAAGCACUGUGGAGAGGGAAGGAACUCAAUGACGGUACCUCUUUAGCAAGCACCGGCUAACUCCGUGCCAGCAGCCGCGGU